GAAAUGCGAUAAGUAAUGUGAAUUGCAGAAUUCAGUGAAUCAUCGAAUCUUUGAACGCACAUUGCGCCCGCCAGUAUUCUAGCGGGCAUGCCUGUUCGAGCGUCAUUACAACCCUCAGGCCCCCGGGCCUGGCGUUGGGGAUCGGCGGAAGCCCCCUGCGGGCACAACGCCGUCCCCCAAAUACAGUGGCGGUCCCGCCGCAGCUUCCAUUGCGUAGUAGCUAACACCUCGCAACUGGAGAGCGGCGCGGCCACGCCGUAAAACACCCAACUUCUGAAUGUUGACCUCGAAUCAGGUAGGAAUACCCGCUGAACUUAAGC
rnacentral:misc_RNA from 1 species